UGUCGUUCUGCCAUUUCGAUCAGGAACCUUGCCGAUGUAAAAUAUCCGUUUAUGACUGUUUAAAUUAUGUUGGAUAUUGUUACUCAGUUAAUAUUACCUUACUUUGGAAGUAGAAAAGCGCAAGUUUUUGGGAAGAGGUUUCCCAGUGAAAGUCCAAUAGUUUUGGUAACUCGAUUAGCAAGGAUGACUGCGGAUAACCUGGAUAGGGUUUUGGCAGAUCCAAUGCUGCUUGCUUGUAAUUUCCAUGGGGUUACAUCCUCCAUAGUGGAUGAUUCAUGGUUGAUCUUCCACUGCAGAAAUAGUAGUAUAUUGCCACUGUCUACCAAGUCAUUGUUCUGGUAUGGAGCUAUUGAAAAAUGUCAACUUUGGAAAUAUGGUACAAAUUUUAUGGUGAAGCAGCUGGUAAUGUGCUAUAUGCUGUGAUCUAUGUUUUCUGCAUGCUAAAAACGACAAUUUUGACAACUUAAUAAGCAGUAUGAUUGGAUAGUCAGGCUUGAAUUUUUACAGGCCCCAUGCUGUUUCCUUCUAUUUUCCAUGAGGUCACAUAUCCCUGCUGAUAAUUCAUGUAGCACAUGCAGAAGUAUUUUGUGACCAUCUAUCUGUCAUGGUACUGGUAUGGAGCUAUCGAACAAUCGUGGUGAAGCAGCCUGGUAUUGUCGUGCAAUCAAUGCUUUAUGCAUGCAACAGGUGAUGAGGAAUGACUGGGUAACCUGACAAUGAUUUAGACAGACCCAAAGCUUCUUGCUUAUUCCUCUUCCUGUGAGGUUACAUCCCUUGGUGGAUUAUUUAUGUAGGGUUGAUCUCUUAAUGCCCUAGCAGAAGUAUUUUGCCAUCUGUCCAUCUAACCAUGGUUCUUGUAUGGGAUGCUUGGAAAGUGGCUAGUUCAAUGACAUGUAGGACAUACAAUACUGUGUGGUGAAGCAGCCUGCAAACAUUAGUUUUCGAGCCUUGGUCACCAGCCUUGUAUGGUUUGCUGAUUCUGGGAAGUCUGCACAUCAAACAGUUUCUACUCAUGAUCUAUGUAAGGUGUAUUUUAAACCAUCUUGGGGAUGCCUUUUCUGCGGUUGGAACGCCGGACGAUCGAUAACGUUAUUCCUGAGUGUAAAUGUCAGUGUUGCCUUUGGGAAACUUAUGGGAAGGAAGUUUUAUGUGAUACGAGAUUCAAUAGGAGCGUUGGGGUUUUCAGUUUGUCGGUGUGGUUGAAGGAAGCUGGAUUGCCGUCCGAAGUUUUCUUAAUAGUUCUCGUAUUUAAAACAUAACAAAUUGCCAAUGUGCUGUUUUCUGUACCGUUUUACUAUGACCUGUGAUAAGUUUGCUGCGACCUUUAUGGUUACUGCUUUUGGCAGAGAAAAUGGUGAUGUGAUGGUUGAAAGGUAUGUUAUAAUCGGUUUGCAUCAAGUUAACCAAAUGCAUUAUAGCGGUUAAGAGUUCUAAAUUUUCUUAUCUUGCAUGUAUUACGUACGCCUUGAAUAAGUAAUUCGUUGGGUUAAUGGUAUCAUUAUCUUUCCUUACAAUGAAGUUUGGAAAAGUGUCUGUAAAUG